rnacentral:lncRNA from 1 species
CUACUCCCUCGCAUGUAGGUAAGGCGAACAAACCAAAAAUACUUCGUUAUUUCAUAUAAUUAUUUGACUUUUAUAUAGAUUUAUAAAAGGGCACCUCGAUACAAGUGUGCUCCUAUUUCUGACUUAUAAUAAAAUGGUUAAUUUUAAAUGAAAUCUUCUUUAUAUAUAAAAGAGAGGUUGUGUGCUGUCUGUCUCCUACGAUUUAGAUUCCUAACUAAUCCCACAUUUUGCGGUGCAGUUUAACCAAAACCUGGUAUCUUAUAGUCGUGAUUCAUAUCGAGCCCUUCUGGGUAUUAGCGCGCGUCUACGAUGAGUCUACGAUUUUAAAAAUAAUUUAACAUCAUUUUUUCCAUUUUAAUGCAUUUUUUCGCUAUUAUAUAAGGGAAGUAACUCUCUAAAAAUGUCUACGAUGAGUCAACGAUUUAAAAAAAAAUUACCAUCAUUUUUUAUUCCAUUUUGAAUGCAUUUUUUUUUUGCUAUAACUCUCUAAAAAUGCUUAUAUGGUUAUUUCCCUUACAAACCCGAGCAACACCGGGCGAUACUGCUAGUAUGUAUAUAAAAGUAAGGUUGUGUGUCUGUCUCCUACGAUUUAGAUUCCUAACUACUCCCACAUUUUGCGGUGCAGUGUAACCAAAAGCGGGUAUCUUAUAGUCGUGAUUCAUAUCGAGCCCUUCUGGGUAUUAGCACGCGUCUACGAUGAGUCUACGAUUUUAAAAAUAACUUACCAUAAUUUUUUUCCAUUUUAAUGCAUUUUUUCGCUAUUAUAUAAGGGAAGUAACUUUCUAAAAAUGUCUACGAUGAGUCAACGAUUAAAAAAAAAAUUUACCAUAAUUUUUUUUCCAUUUUUAAUGCAUUUUUUUGCUAUUUUUUGGCUAUAACUCUCUAAAAAUGCUUAUAUAGUUAUUUCCUUUACAAACCCGAGCAAUGCCGGGCGAUACUGCUAGUCUUAUUAUAAAAGAGAAAUUGUGUGUAUGUCUCCUACGAUUUAGAUUCCUAACUACUCCCACAUUUUGCGGUGUAGUUUAACCAAAACCGGGUAUCUUAUAGUCGUGAUUCAUAUCGAACCCUUCUGGGUAUUAGUGCGCGUCUAUGAUGAGUCUACGAUUUUAAAAAUAAUUUACCAUAAUUUUUUUCCAUUUUAAAGCAUAUUUUUGGGGGUUCUUCCAAUUUUUUCGUGUGUCGAUGGCGACGGAGUUGGCGUCCAUGCUCACACUUGCACCUGUGUAGCUCCUCCCCUUCUUCCCUCCCACGUGAAGCUGUGGGGAAGAGAGUUUAAGGAAAUCAACGUCGUAAAGCGUUGUCAAGGAGACCAGCAUUGUUUCAGAACAACGACUUCAUGGCUUGAAGUCGCCAAAACAGAAAUCGCUAAGAAAGCUGAAACAGAUCCACAAAAACGGCAAAAACCGCCACACAGGGUAGGUUUCCUGUGCAAACAAUUUGCACAACCGAAUGUUUUAGUUGUUGCGCAAAUCUUUAUAUAUAAAAGUGAAGUUGUGUAUCUGUCUCCUACGAUUUAGAUUCCUAACUACUCCCACAUUUUGCGCUGCAGUGUAACCAAAACCGGGUAUCUUAUAGUCGUGAUUCAUAUCCAGCCCUUCUGGGUAUUAGCGCACGUCUACGGUGAGUCUACGAUUUAAAAAAAAAAUUAUCCAUCAUUUUUUAUUCCAUUUUAAUGCAUUUUUCGCUAUUGUAUAAGGGAAGUAACUCUCUAAAAAUGUCUACGAUGAGUCAACGAUUUAAAAAAGAAAUUACCAUCAUUUUUUAUUCCAUUUUUAAUGCAUUUUUUUUUCUAUAACUCUCUAAAAAUGCUUAUAUAGUUAUUUCCCUUACAAACCCGAGCAACGCCGGGCGAUACUGCUAGUUGUAAUAUAAGUAAUGUUACACAAUCUGAAGACGUAUCUGUAGUGUGUAAAUAUGUAAAUUUUAUAUGGUGUAAUUUUAGUGACUAAUUAAAAUGUAAAGUUUAUUUGUUGAGGUAAAGGUUUAUUAGCGUAUAAUGUAAGAACCAUUGUAAAAUUUCUCUGUUGGAUAUCUUCUUUUUAAUUAUCUUUGAUAUCUUACACAAUUUCUCUCUCAUUUCAGAUUACAAGAUGGCAUUGGCAUUAAAGAAUAUUUUUGCAUCAGAUACAUCACAGAUAUUUAUCACAUUUUAAAGUGUACAGGAAAAUAUUCUACCUAAGAACUAAGAAGUAGUUCUUCUGAGUGAAACAUUUCUCUCCUUCAUUGCCUGGAAUAUGUACAAGACGAUUUUGUAUACCAAUUAACUGUUGAGACAUUUCCAAAGGGGGUUCGCAAUCCUUUUCUGAUAAUGAUAAAAGUUGAUGGAAAUAUUACUGUUGAAAUGUUUUGAUCAACAUAGGAAUAAAUAAAAAGAAAAGGAGAAAAAUAUCCAUAUAUUAUUGUGAGAAAAAAU